UGACUGGAUCUGGUGGGACUGACUGGUCUGACUGGAUCUGGUGGGACUGACUGGUCUGACUGGAUCUGGUGGGACUGACUGGUCUGACUGGAUCUGGUGGGACUGACUGGUCUGACUGGAUCUGGUGGGACUGACUGUUCUGACUGGAUCUGGUGGGACUCUAGUCUACUGUCUCAGACAGAGGUGUCUAGUCUGCCGUCUCAGACAGAGGUGUCUAGUCUGCCGUCUCGGACAGAGGUGUCUAGUCUGCCGUCUCGGACAGAGGUGUCUAGUCUGCCGUCUCGGACAGAGGUGUCUAGUCUGCCGUCUCGGACAGAGGUGUCUAGUCUGCCGUCUCGGACAGAGGUGUCUAGUCUGCCGUCUCGGACAGAGGUGUCUAGUCUGCCGUCUCGGACAGAGGUGUCUAGUCUGCCGUCUCGGACAGAGGUGUCUAGUCUGCCGUCUCGGACAGAGGUGUCUAGUCUGCCGUCUCGGACAGAGGUGUCUAGUCUGCCGUCUCGGACAGAGGUGUC